rnacentral:misc_RNA from 1 species
GAUGAAGAACGCAGCGAAAUGCGAUAAGUAAUGUGAAUUGCAGAAUUCAGUGAAUCAUCGAAUCUUUGAACGCACAUUGCGCCCGCCAGUAUUCUGGCGGGCAUGCCUGUCUGAGCGUCAUUUCAACCCUCAUGCCCCUAGGGCGUGGUGUUGGGGAUCGGCCAAAGCCCGCGAGGGACGGCCGGCCCCUAAAUCUAGUGGCGGACCCGUCGUGGCCUCCUCUGCGAAGUAGUGAUAUUCCGCAUCGGAGAGCGACGAGCCCCUGCCGUUAAACCCCCAACUUUCCAAGGUUGACCUCAGAUCAGGUAGGAAUACCCGCUGAACUUAAGCAUAUCAGCGGAGGA